AUAGUACUAGACAGUUAAAUUGUUUAGAGCCUUUAAAGUAUACACUAUAAAAGUGACGAACCAUUAUAGUGUACUGAUAUUGU
rnacentral:ncRNA from 12 species